GACGAACGCUGGCGGCGUGCUUGACACAUGCAAGUCGAACGGAAAGGCCUGCUUUCCCUUGUGGAUUGCGGGUACUCGAGUGGCGAACGGGUGAGUAACACGUGAGUGAUCUGCCCCCAACUUGGGUAUAAGCCUGGGAAACUGGGUCUAAUUCCCGAUAGGACUGCAGGGUGGUGCCUGUGGUGGAAAACGAUUUUCUAGUGGUUGGGGAUGAGCUCGCGGCCUAUCAGCUUGUUGGUGGGGUAAUGGCCUACCAAGGCGGCGACGGGUAGCCGGCCUGAGAGGGUGGACGGCCACAGUGGGACUGAGAUACGGCCCAGACUCCGACGGGAGGCAGCAGUGGGGAAGAGUGCACAAUGGGCGGAAGCCUGAUGCAGCGACGCCGCGUGGGGGAUGACGGCCUUCGGGUUGUAAACUCCUUUCGACCGCGAGGAAGCCACCUGGUUGGAAGGGUGGUGACGGUAGUGGUAGAAGAAGCACCGGCUAACUACGUG
rnacentral:rRNA from 1 species